AAGACAUGCAAGUCGAACGGGAUUUCAGUGCAGCAAUGAUGAAGAGUCAGUGGCGCAAGGGUGCGUAACACGUGGGCAAUCUGCCGAGAAGCGGGGGAUAGCUCGCCGAAAGGCGAAUUAAUACCGCAUGCGGUUAGCAAGGGAUUCCUUGCGAUACCAAAGUCGGUCAUAGCAAUAUGGYGACGCUUUUUGAUGAGCCCGCGGCCUAUCAGCUAGUUGGCGGGGUAACGGCCCACCAAGGCAAUGACGGGUAGCUGGUCUGAGAGGACGACCAGCCACACUGGAACUGAGACACGGUCCAGACACCUACGGGUGGCAGCAGUCGAGAAUUUUUCUCAAUGGGGGAAACCCUGAAGGAGCGACGCCGCGUGGAGGAUGAAGGUCUUCGGAUUGUAAACUCCUGUCAUUAGAGAACAAACUGCACGGCUUAACUGGCUGUGCACUGAUAGUAUCGGAAGAGGAAGUGA
rnacentral:rRNA from 1 species